rnacentral:rRNA from 1 species
GACGAACGCUGGCGGCGUGCCUAAUACAUGCAAGUCGAGCGGACUGAAUGGGAGCUUGCUCUUGUUCGGUCAGCGGCGGACGGGUGAGUAACACGUGGGCAACCUGCCCGCAAGACCGGGAUAACUCCGGGAAACCGGAGCUAAUACCGGAUAACACCGAAGACCGCAUGGUCUUUGGUUGAAAGGCGGCGCAAGCUGCCACUUGCGGAUGGGCCCGCGGCGCAUUAGCUAGUUGGUGAGGUAACGGCUCACCAAGGCGACGAUGCGUAGCCGGCCUGAGAGGGGGACCGGCCACACUGGGACUGAGACACGGCCAAGACUCCUAGGGGAGGCAGCAGAGGGGAAUCUUCCCCAAUGGGGGAAAGCCUGACGGGGCGGCGCCGGGGGGGCGAAAAAGGCCUUCGGGUGGUAAAGCUCUGUUGUGGGGGACGAAGGGGGGCCGUUUGAAAAAGGCGGGGCGGGGAGGGUACCCCACGGGGAAGCCCCGGCUAACUACGU